AGUCAGUUCGUUAAUUUCUUGGGAUAGUACUAAACAGCUAUGAAGGUCGGAUUUCUUCUUCUCUUGUGCCUUGCCGCUGGCAGCCAAGCCAGUUUCCUUGACGAUCUCAAGGCUACAUUUCACAAUAUUGGAACAGCUUUGACAACUACAGUUCAUGCCGUCGGAGAUCAGGCUAAAGUUGUAGGCACCAACCUUCUCUCAGCAGCUACCGAGCAAGGAAAACAACUCGCUUCUCAAGCUCUUCAAAGUCUUCUCAUGGGAACCAUGAGCGCUCUGCAGAAACCACCAACAGACCCCGCUACCAAGAGAUCUCUCUCUGAACUCCUUGAGCAAAGCAAGCAUUUGACCGAUGCCGCCGAAAUGCUUGUGCAGCAGAAGAUGGACAAACUGAAGGGUGCCUACAAUGAGGCUAUUGAUAACCUUAAAGCUGUCUCCUCUCAGCUCACAGACCUUCCAGCCACCGACCUCAUCAAGAAAGUCGACCAGAUUCUCCAUCGGACAAGGUCUUGCCAACUUCUUCCAGCCCCAUGUACAGGCUGUCCAACAGUUAGUCAGCGGAGUUGGCGAGUCCCUGAAACAGACCACCCAACAAUUCCACUCCAGUCUGACCACUGGUACCCACGGAACUGCCAUCCAUGACUCUGCUUCCGCCCUGGCUCAGCACGGACAGAACGCCCUCAGUGCCCUCAAGGACGCCGUCUCUGACAUCCUCCAGCAAACCCUGACCAACAUGCAGCCACACAUCGUCAACAUCCUCCAGCACGGAGCCCAGGCCCUCACCGACACUCUCUCCCAACACCCUGCUGGGUCCCCAUCCGAGACUGCUGCAAACCCGCAGUAAAAUUAAACUGUCAUAUUUUUUUUUACAAAUAAAAUGUGAAAACUUG
rnacentral:misc_RNA from 1 species